GGGACACUGCCACAUGUAUGUAAACUUAAACAUUAGACGAUUGGAUCAUGGUUCCACUGAAAUGAGUUGGUGUAGAGAACGUAGCUUACCCUGAUGACCUGGGCAGGCCUAUCUUUGACGCCAUGGGUGAAGACCAGAUAAUAAAGCCCUAAAAGCAUCAACACUGGCAUCUCCUUUUGGACCAUGUUGACAUGACUAUUAGCACCCAUGCUCCUCACCUUUGCCCCUGCCAAUCCUUCCAAAGACUCUC
rnacentral:lncRNA from 1 species